UACGAAGGAUCCUAGCGUUGUCCGGAUUUAUUGGGUUUAAAGGGUGCGUAGGCGGAUUAUUAAGUCAGAGGUGAAAGUUUGCAGCUUAACUGUAAAAUUGCCUUUGAAACUGAUAAUCUUGAGUAUAGUUGAGGUGGGCGGAAUGUGUCAUGUAGCGGUGAAAUGCUUAGAUAUGAUACAGAACACCAAUUGCGAAGGCAGCUCACUAAACUGUAACUGACGCUGAGGCACGAAAGCGUGGGGAGCAAAC
rnacentral:rRNA from 1 species